rnacentral:rRNA from 1 species
GCUAGGAUGAACGCUAGCUACAGGCUAACACAUGCAAGUCGAGGGGCAGCAUUGGAGUAGCAAUACUUCAGAUGGCGACCGGCGCACGGGUGAGUAACACGUAUCCAACCUGCCGCUUACUCGGGGAUAGCCUUUCGAAAGAAAGAUUAAUACCCGAUGGUAUAAAGAGUUCGCAUGUUCUCUUUAUUAAAGAAUUUCGGUAAGCGAUGGGGAUGCGUUCCAUUAGAUUGUUGGCGGGGUAACGGCCCACCAAGUCUACGAUGGAUAGGGGUUCUGAGAGGAAGGUCCCCCACAUUGGAACUGAGACACGGUCCAAACUCCUACGGGAGGCAGCAGUGAGGAAUAUUGGUCAAUGGACGAGAGUCUGAACCAGCCAAGUAGCGUGAAGGAUGACUGCCCUAUGGGUUGUAAACUUCUUUUAUAAGGGAAUAAAGUGAGGGACGUGUCCCUUUUUGUAUGUACCUUAUGAAUAAGGAUCGGCUAACUCCGUGCCAGCAGCUGC